rnacentral:rRNA from 1 species
AUUGAACGCUGGCGGCAGGCCUAACACAUGCAAGUCGAGCGGGGUUUUCGGACCUAGCGGCGGACGGGUGAGUAAUGCGUAGGAAGCUACCCGAUAGAGGGGGAUACCAGUUGGAAACGACUGUUAAUACCCGCAUAAUGUCUACGGACCAAAGUGUGGGACCUUCGGGCCACAUGCUAUCGGAUGCGCCUACGUGGGAUUAGCUAGUUGGUGGGGUAAUGGCUCACCAAGGCGACGAUCCCUAGCUGGUUUGAGAGGAUGAUCAGCCACACUGGAACUGAGACACGGUCCAGACUCCUACGGGAGGCAGCAGUGGGGAAUAUUGGACAAUGGGCGCAAGCCUGAUCCAGCCAUGCCGCGUGUGUGAAGAAGGCC